rnacentral:tRNA from 1 species
CGAGCUUUCCCUAUUAGUUGGGGUAUUCAUUUACAUUGAAUCUUUUGCCGUGCAAUUCGGUGUUGUUCGA